GUGCUCACGAGACACUGCACCCAUCUUCUCUACUUCACGAAGCAGAGGAUCACCGCUGUUCGCAUAGAAACGAAGAACUUGCGCGCGCGCAAGCACAAGCGGACAGGAGGCGCACCAAGCACAGGCAAGCAUACGCUUGCUGUCGCACCGCGAAGACUCCUGCUUUAACUUCAUAGACACGCGCUUUUCAUGUGCACUGCUCAUAUGAAAAGCUCUCUGCUUUCUCUGACGAACAUUGUUCCUAGCAAGGGGCUGUCUCGUUUCUUCUCACAUACGUGGCGCUCUAACCUCCUCUUUUGUGACUGCCGCGCAGGCCGCUGCGAGGAAGGCGUGUGCGCGCCUGUGCAUGUGUUUGUGCGCAUCGAGCUUGAUGCCGUAGUUCCUCAGAGGCGAUAUAGUGGACUCCUCUUCCCUCAACCGAGUUGGUUUGCUCUUCGCCUUUAGCGUUGGCGUUGAAAAGGCAAGCGCGCUCUUGUCACGAAUUUACGCGAAGCAAGUGCCGGUAUAUCAACAUCUCUUUUCUCUCGCUCUCCUGUUUCAUCUUCAUCGACGGGCUCCUUGACUUGCUUGCUCAG
rnacentral:misc_RNA from 1 species